GUUAAUUGCUGGCCUGUAUGAAUGGCUAAACGAGGGCUCCACUGUCUCAAUAAUAAACCUAGUGAAAUUGAGACGGCGGCGAAGACGCCGCCUAUGAAUUCUAAGACGAGAAGACCCCAUUGAGCUUUACUAUUAACUUGUAUUGCCAGAGCCAAGGGACCCUCCCCGGGUCCCUGCUUCAUAAUAAAAUUGUGAAGACUAAGUGGAAAAAGAAAAAACAAGGGAUUAAAAAGAACGGAGAGCCCGGAGGGCGGCGGGGGGGAGCCCUUUAGGCUCCCCCCCGCCGCCCUGUCCCGAUUUAUAUGAAAAACCACUCUUUUUAUUAAGAUUACUGUCUAAAACCGUACAAGUAAGAUAGUUUGGUUGGGGCGACCGCCUUCGAAAAAGUAUCGAAGGCGCACAUAAGAUUAGUCCGGAGGGGGGUCCAAAGGAUCCCCCUCCCGGGGGCAAUGCCCCAAAAAAAGAUUAGUUUGACUGAGAGGGCUACAACCCGAACAGACGCCAGGGACCCGGCCCCCCCCCCCGCCUUUUGGCGGGUCAUAGUGAUCCGUUGUUAUAUUGUGGGAUAGACAACGAUCAA
rnacentral:rRNA from 1 species